UACGAAGGGGGCUAGCGUUGUUCGGAAUUACUGGGCGUAAAGCGUGCGCAGGCGGUUUGCUAAGACAGGUGUGAAAUCCCCGGGCUUAACCUGGGAACUGCGCUUGUUACUGGCAGGCUUGAGUGUGGCAGAGGGGGGUGGAAUUCCACGUGUAGCAGUGAAAUGCGUAGAGAUGUGGAGGAACACCGAUGGCGAAGGCAGCCCCCUGGGCUAACACUGACGCUCAUGCACGAAAGCGUGGGGAGCAAACAGG
rnacentral:rRNA from 1 species